GAUUUCGCCAUCGUGAAUAGUAGGGUAAACCAUUUUUAAUGGAUUAUAGUGAAGAUAUUUGUCUGUGAGCUCUCGGUUACGACUGACGGGCGGUUUACGUGAUCUUGAACUGCCCUUCCGAGUGAAAAAUUGAAUUCCACGUCGGGAGAGCGCGAACCGUCCUGCGUAUUUCGCGUGAAUACAGAAAAGCGGGCGUGCGCACAACGUUGUAGCCGUCGCCACCAUGGGGUAACAAGGAGCAAUUAACUAAGGAGUAUUAACUCAACUGCGGUGUUGCGUUCCAAAUUUAAACUUUUGAUUGGGUGCCAAUGAGGUUCAAGAAAAUUUGGUUCAAGAAAGAAUCUAACUGAAAAGAAUAAUACGUAUAGAUUUAAUUGAUAACAGCAUUAAUGAUCACUUAGCAAUUGUAUUGAUUUUCGCGCAAUAUUGUGACUUUUGACGCAAGGCGAUUUAUGACAGUUUUUUUAACUUCCGGUUUCCUUAGGAAUAGGAAGUACUUCCGAAGCAGAUGUAGCCAACUUUUUGCGUAAAAAAGCCUUUUUCAGUCUUAACAUUAUAUUUGGUAUAGUACGUAUCUUCUACGUUUAUUGUGAUGUUUUAAAUUUUAAAGCAAAUUACAUACCAAACAGUUACUUUUUAGAUUUUUUAUUCAAUUAAAUCCUAUUUAAAUUAUUUAAACCGCUUUAACAGAGAAGUGCUAUAUGAGCACUCCUUAUUUAUCUACUACCUAUUCAAUUUUAAGUAGCUUUUCAAACCAUUUAAAAAUGGAUACGUAAAUGAAUUUCGAUAACUAAAAUACACAUGCAUACCUAAAAUAUAUAUAAAAAAACUAUAAUAAUAUACAUAAAGUAGGUACAUACUUCAAACUUUUGUAAAUAUAUUUAGACAAUGGUACGGUUUGUAUGCUCACCAUAAUUUCAAGUAUGAAAUCAGCUGUUAUUACAUUCUAUGGUUGCCGAUGUUCUAGGUUAGGAAUUUUAAUAGCAACUUUUAAUCUAAUAUUUUUUUUAUGAAAAUGAGUACAUAUAGAGGAAUGUUACUUUAAAAAUUUACUUGUCCUUUAUAUUUCAUUUCGUACUUAAUCUUAAAAAAACUUAUUGAAACUUUAAUUUAGCCAACCAAAAACAACAGCCGGUAAGGCAUUACCCAAAAUAGGUAUUUUUAUGCUACUAACGACAUAUUUGCCUUUUUACACUUUAUCGUCUUUAGGUAAGCUUUUUAUAAAAUGUAGGAAGAUUUAGUAUGUCCAACCUAACAACCCUUGUCUUGAUCUAUUGAUUCCAGAUCCAAUCUAGUUUUAAUGAAUUUCCAAAAAGAUCUUUCACGUUAUCAGCUUAAUGAAAUUUGAAUACUCACGAAAGCCAUGGUUAUGUUCACCGAUUAAUUGGAUUAAUUUAUUCUUGAUAUUUCACAGUAAUGUUAAAAGUAUUAAAUUUUUGGACAGACCACGCAUAUGAUCAACACAAGGACUUUUGGAGGUCAAAUCAAUGUCAUAGACAAGCAGAAAUUGAAUGCAGCCAUUUUUAUUCAUCGUUUUUUUAUCGAACAGUCUUUAAAAAAAGGUCCAAAGAAGCAACAGGAUAGCCGUCGGAGCUCCGUGAUUCGUCAGGAACGUCGACCUCCAUGACAACCUGGACUUAAGAGUCCAUCAGUAUCGCCAGUCGGCGUCGCUGCGCCACUUCGAUAAAGCGGUACGACACGAGAACCCUCUCAUCGUGGCCGCCGGUAACUACAUUCCCGAUCCUGCGGACAGAAUGUAAAGCAGUCGACGUCGCCCCAAAUACGUCAUUUCGGAUCCUCCCGAUCCACUAACGGUGCUUUUAGGUACCUCAAGCACCGGUCAUCGUUCUCGUCGAACCCGUCGCUUGCGACGAAGGGCUCGGCGAGUAAAUUAACCCUCAGACACAGCCUACUGAGCCUCUCGCCGGAUCUUCUCAGUGGGUCGCCUUUCCGAUCCGGUGGUAGAUUCUGCGAAGCACGGCUCUUGCUAGGGUACGUGUUAGCAACAUCAUCAGGUUUGAGCCCCGUGAGCUCGCCUACUAGUUAAGGCUACGCUGACAUAGCCUCUUAAGGCUAUCAGCUUAGGUAGGAAAAAAAACCAUCAAUUUCGUACUUGAAGGGCGACAAUCACUUCGUAACUGCAUACUCAUUUGCUUAUGGAAGCAACACUGAUUGAGAAACUAUGCAUUUAAAAUGCAACACAUAGUUGUCGAGUUUAAGCAUUGCUUAUUGGUAUAAUAAUUAAAAUUUUCGCCAAAUUAAUAAAAGCACCAAAGUAGGAAGCUUAUAAAUAACAAAAACAUUAUGUAUAAAUAACAUUAACAAAAAAGAAGGGGUUUUUUAAAUUUUUAUUUAUUAUCUAAUUCAAUUUACAAUGAAAAUGAACGAUAAUAGUGAUUAAUAUAACAUUUUUUGAAUAUUAAAAAAAAGUCAAAAUAUAGCUACUGACAAGAUUUUUUCACCUUUUACAAAGGUUUUGGAAUGGCAUCCGCAAAAUAAAACAAAAAAUUGGGUAAUUUUACAUUCGCAUUCGUUUAUAUGAAUUUUUACGAAACAAGGAACAUUUCAACUUUUGGAACAUAAUUUUACAACCAAAUUAAGCAUUUAUAUGAAAUAUGGAAAAUAAUGAAAGGAUAAACAAAACCAUUUCAGUUUUCCUUUAAAUAAAACAAUAAGACAAAAUCAUUACGUCGACCCGUUUCCUUCUCAGAAAACUUAGUUUAUGUCAAAAUAGUUUUAAUGAAAAUAAAACUAUACUUAAUUAUUCUUUUGUAGUUUUCCAUUAAAGUAACUUUAUCGUCUUCCACUCACGGAUGAGUAUUAUAAACAGGCUGCGGACCGUGAGCACUGAUGAUCAAACCAAACUCACAUCUUGAUUUAGCUUACUUUAUUCCAAUAUAAAUUUUGGUUUUUAUAGUGAAUUUUCAAAAACAAGAAAUUAAAUACAUUUAACAUUUAUAAAUUUUAUAUAAAAAGUAAAGCUUAUUUUAAUUACAUUCAGCUGACAAUUUACAUUUGUUUUGUAAUAAUAAUAAUGAUAUAAUAUUUUACAUUAAGCAAGAAUGACAACCAGUACCAUUUUCUCUGAAAUGUACGAGUUCUUAGGACAGUUUAUUACAAAAUUAAUAUAAUUAUAUAGGUAGGUAUUUGACAAAGUUUAUCAAAGGAUAAUCUUGAAAUUACAUAAAUUACAUCAAUACUUAUUUUUUGAGGUUAAAUUACAUGAUUAUUGUUUUAAAUAGGUAUUAUAUUUUUGUUAUAUUAUAUUAACACAAAUAAACUAAUGUGCGUUGUAUAAUAAAUGUUUAUAAAAAUUACGAAACCUUAGCAUAUCUUCAUAAAAAACGUGAGGUUGAAUUUAUUGAUGGAAAUUUGUGCUUGUCGACGACCAUAUUGAAAUGUCGCUUUUUCGCAAUAUUUACUAUAAACAUAUCAAACACCGUAAUGUAUCAAGAUUGUUGUGUUUCCUAAGAGAAUUUUCUCUUUUGAUCUCUGGUUUCUUUUAUGACAUUAAACAAGAUUGUUAUCUUGUCUAUGACUUAAGAAAAGAAUUUGUUUUUGAAAAACGAAACGAAAUGAGGUAGGUAUGUAACUGGUACAUACUAGAUGCUGGGGCACAUUAUGUUCUGCGGUUAAGUUUCCUGGAAUUUAUACAUAUUUUGAUGAAUGUAUCAUAAAACAUCAGAAUUAAUAGUAAGCCACAACCUAUUAAGGCUUGUCAUCCAUAAUUCAUGUUUAACAGUAGUCUAAAUAAUAUCAGCAGUUUAUAAAUUGUUUUAGUAGAACUGCUUACAAUUCUGAAAUACGGCACCAUUAAUCAAUUAGAAGUGCAAACAAAAGCUAGUUUCCAUUAGAUGUGUUUGCUUAUAAUUUGUUUACAAAAUUAACAAAUAAUUUAGGCCAUUCAUACAUUUUAAAAAUAGAAAUUAAGUAGAAAAGUACAGAGCACUAUUCAAAUUAAGAUAAUGGGAAUUAAUGCAAAUUGUACUUUAUCUAUUCAUUUGUCGUGACAUUUUUUCUUCCUUGGAUAUUGUUGCCACAAUCUAUUCUGUAUUUCAUCUUAAUAUCAAUAAGUGUAGUCAACUGAGGGAUUUAAUUUUGUAAAUUUUAUGUGAAUGCUACAAUUAAUAUAGAUAUGGUAGUGGCUCAAUGCAGUUGUUUAUAAAGAUCUAGCAUUCAUAGAAUUUUACCAGUUGAAUGAACUAAUAGUUUAAUCUGUUUAGAAGAAAAGUAUGGAACCAACAUAUUAUGAAGUUUAUAAAAAAAAGGGCAAUGUUAAGUUGUCACCGGUGUAGUGUGUAUUGCAUUAAUUUCCAUUUUGUUACAGGGGUUGUUUACAAACUAUUAAAAAUACAUAUUUUGUCAGUUUGUAACAAGUGUGUGAACAAAAUAAUAUUAAAUUGUCUAUUUAUCUAACUAAUAGCAUUAGCUCGCUACAAUCUUAAUAUCACUUCAGGCAAACAAUAAUAGUCUGUGCCUAUCUUGUCUGUUACAUGUCUUUUAAGCAGCUACAAUUACAAUGAUCAUGGCGCCCAAUGAAAAUAGGCAUUUUUAGAGAUAUAAAAAAAAAAAAUGUUUUUGAUAAAUACUGUGAAUGUUUAUGCGAGGUCUUUAGACACUUUCUGCCUUAUUCCAAAGGAUUCCAUAAUAGUAAUUUAGUUUUAUUUCUUCAGUGAAUUCGUUUCGCGAUUUGGAGCCUCUAGAACGCAUGAGGGAAAAAAUAAGAUUGCAUUUUUGAUUGAAACAAAUACUUACAAAAAUAUGGAGGUCUUACCAAAAAUGUAUUCAAAAUGUUCUGAAAUUAUUGUCGAAUCAAAUCCACGUUAGAGUGCUCCUUCCUCGCAACCACAGUGGACAUUCACCGUGAACACUGGGACACAGCAUGGCUGCAACUAGCCCACUUCACUUUUCACAUAAAACAGGAGAUAGGGAGUUGCGGCAGAUCUCAUUUUCGGUUCAGCCGACAAGAGAUCUUCGAAUUCCUCAUUCGAUAUGGGUUUAACAAGUUCAUCGUCACAUGCGAGCCAGCAUGGUUCUGUUCUAGGUCUUGGGACGCAACAUUCCUUAGCUGCACAGCCAGUGGGCGGGUGGCGAGGUCGGUUGAAGAGCGUCCUCAUGAAAGAAGACGAGGAGGUUGUGGUGGCAUCACCGCUACCUUCACGAGAGCACUUGAAGUCACAAGAACUAUCGCGCGCAUAAGCAACGUAAUGCCCGCCUGUUAGGGUCUGACCGAGGUGCAUUAUCACUGCCCAUAGGAUGUAUCUGUAAAGUGCACCAAAAGUAAUUAGGAACUAUUAUUUGGAUAACUCAAAGCAAGUACACUGUAUCAAAAAUAAUUAAAAAUUUAUAUGAACACUUGGAGUGUGAUCAGGCUCAUAGUUCACCUGGUGUUACCAGUUAGAAGUUAAGCAGUUAUCAGUCUAAACCAAUGAGCUAAACCAAUUAACGAAAAAGAAAAAAAGCUAGUAGAAAAAAGAAAUUAAUAACAAAAAAAAUGAAGAAUAGAAAUUGUAGAAUAGAAAUUGAGAAUAAAGAAUAUCUUUAACCCGAACAAAGUUAGUUACAUAUUAUUAUUUAAAUACAACAUCAAGUGUAAAGAUCACUCAUAGCUGGACCCUUUAUUUCUCUUAAUCAGAUUGCUUCUGGAUCUUUAAGCUUACACUAGCUAUUACACAGCAUAUUACCUGUGCUGUGGUGCACGCUCGGGCGGUCUGGAAGCGCAAGGCUCACAGAAACAAGGCAUAAGUAGAGGCGUCGGUGCAUGUCUUGUUAUCUUUUCCAUUCCCCCGCUGAAUCGUUUCAACUGUAGUACCAGCAACCGCGGCAGUCUCGAAUAAGUGACGCUGCGACGAGCUUCGUUGUACCGUAGACAACGUUCGCACCAAUACUGGAAGUUGUUUUACUAAUGAGAUAUUUUUUUUCUCUCCGAGCAUGUUUAAUUUGGGGAGUAGGGACAGUAAUUUUUUGAAAGCAAAUAAGAGCUAGAUCUCAUGUGUUGUACAAUGGGGUCAUAUAGCUACAUAACAUUAAAUGAACUUUAUCUGCCCUUUGACUAACUGUUCAUUGUCUGUAGUUAUCCGUAUAGAAUCGGAGUUUUAUUAGUGACUUGCUGACCCGGCAGACUUCGUAAUACAUCAAAGGAAGAACAAUUUUGUUGUUUUUAUUUAAUUCCGAGUAUUUACGAACAGCAAUUCAUUUUUAUACCUAGUCUUAUCAUAAAUACUGAGACAAAGGAAAAAGAAAAUUCUAUUGCAAAUAACAUUUAUUACUUUUACAGUGUGUUAGUUUAAUACAUAAAUAUAAAACAAUUUAAAGUACUGCGUAGACCGAGCUUUAUGACCUGGCGCCGAGUCUUGCUGGAAGGACCAUUCUUGAUUAUUGAACAUGGUGUUGUUAAGGGGCUUCACUAACUUCUCAAGAAUGUUAUCUUGAUACACUUGUGCCGAUGUUUUGAUACCUUUUUCACAAAAGUAUGGCUCGGUCAUUCCUUCAUAGUCACCAAACCAUCACUGAAGUCGGAUAGUGUCCACGUUGCACUCUGUCGACUAAUUGGGGAGCUUCCUUAGAGCUUUGAGCAUAAAUGUUGCUCAAUUGUAAAAAUUUUCUCAUCCGUAAACAAAAUUUUUCUAUGACCUCCUUUUGCAUACCACUUCAGUAGUUGUUUCGAUUUUACCACCCUAUUCUCUUUUAAAUUAUCAGUUAAGAAAUGACCAGUACGUCUCUUAUAGGCUGCAAGUCCUAAGUCAUCUUUUAAAAUACGCGACAUGGUUCUAGGUGCUAUCUUCAUCUCCCGAGAUAAAAUCUUUUGCUUUCGGACAAGAUUUCUUCGAAUUCUUUCCCUUACUGCUUUGACCACCUUUUUCGUACGAACACUACGUGGACGGACAGAUCUUUUUCUGUCACAAACAGAGGAGGUCUCAUUGCACCUAUUAAUAGUCCGGUACACAAACAUUUUACUAAUACCAAGCGUAUGGAGAGUUUUAAAAAUUGCAUUUGGCUCUAUACCUACUUUGUGUAAUGCAAUCACAGCGAUUCGGUUCUCUUUAUCACCGCUCCAUUUUAAUAUCGAAAAAUAUUGUACAAUGUAUUGGCGCCAAAAUGAGAAAACAACGAGCAAUCAUAGAAGAAUGACAGAUUCCAAAUUCAAAUGUAAUAUUUUGUUUAUUUUUAAUUGUAACAGUAUUUAUGGCCAGUCUAAGUAUAUAUAGAUGUGAGCACCGGGUCCGGUUAUACAGUACUGAUGAGGACCACCAGUGUUAAUUCUCCACUUCUUUCUCUUUAUAAAUACUCAUCAAAAUCAAUAAAAUAAUAAAUCAGGAUAAACUGCAGGGCAUACAUAUGCGAUACUGUCCAUACCUUGUUCUGAUCACGCAGGUAUUCUGUAGACAGGCAGGCCGCCCGGAACGGUUCCGCUCCUGGUUCUUCUUCGCCAACCGGAACGCACAACUCACAAACAGCCUGCGCCUUCUGAGUGACCGCUUCACAUUCUAAGCACAUGGUCCGCACUACCAUCGUACCUGGAAGACAGAUUAUAUUAGAACUAGAGGUCCUGCAGUAGUCGAAAUUCGACUAUAAUUAAUUGGAAUUAACUAUUAUCUGACUGGCCUAAUGACAACAAGUCCUUGCUACUCCAUGAUCUAGUCCCAGAUGAUACUAAGCCCGCAGCACUCCGACCCAAUGAAGAACUUUUGAGCCUGAUGCUGCCCAACUUUUGCUCAACACUGGCCAGAUCUGACACUAAAUGGUGAAGGUUGUGCAGGAACCGAGGUGCAUACCUGUAAUCAUUCAUCACUAAUCAAGAACUUUAGCUUUAAAACCUAUACACAUUUAUAAUACUGGUGUAUUACAAAUUACUGGCGGUAGGACCUCUUGUGAGUUAUGUUUAUUUGACGAUUAUAUACUUCUUAUACUGCAUUAAAAACAAAUAAUUUCCAAA